GGAAGUAAAAAUCGUAACAAGGUCUCCGCAGGUGAACCUGCGGAGGGAUCAUUACAGAGUUCAUGCCCUACCGGGUAGAUCUCCCACCCUAUGUUAUUAUUACUUUGUUGCUUUGGCGGGCCGUUAGGCUCCGGCCCGACUACCGGCCCCGGCUGGUAAGCGCCCGCCAGAGGACCCAAAACCCUGAAUAUUAGUGUCGUCUGAGUACUAUAUAAUAGUUAAAACUUUCAACAACGGAUCUCUUGGUUCUG
rnacentral:misc_RNA from 1 species